rnacentral:rRNA from 1 species
GAUCAUGGCUCAGGAUGAACGCUGGCGGCGUGCUUAACACAUGCAAGUCGAACGGAGUUUGAAUAAGGAAGUCUUCGGAUGGAAUUNUUUAAACUUGGUGGCGGACGGGUGAGUAACGCGUGGGUAACCUGCCGUAUACAGGGGGAUAACACUUAGAAAUAGGUGCCAAUACCGCAUAAGCGCACAGCAUCGCAUGAUGCAGUGUGAAAAGCCGAGACGGUAUACGAUGGACCCGCGUCUGAUUAGCUAGUUGGUGAGGUAGAGGCUCACCAAGGCGACGAUCAGUAGCCGGCCUGAGAGGGUGACCGGCCACAUUGGGACUGAGACACGGCCCAAACUCCUACGGGAGGCAGCAGUGGGGAAUAUUGCACAAUGGGGGAAACCCUGAUGCAGCGACGCCGCGUGAGUGAAGAAGUAUUUCGGUAUGUAAAGCUCUAUCAGCAGGGAAGAAAAUGACGGUACCUGACUAAGAAGCCCCGGCUAACUACGUG